UCUACGGGUGGCAGCAGUGGGGAAUAUUGGACAAUGGGCGAAAGCCUGAUCCAGCCAUGCCGCGUGUGUGAAGAAGGCCUUCGGGUUGUAAAGCACUUUCAGUGGGGAAGAAAGCCUUGGGGCUAAUACCCUCGAGGAAGGACAUCACCCACAGAAGAAGCACCGGCUAACUCCGUGCCAGCAGCCGCGGUAAUACGGAGGGUGCGAGCGUUAAUCGGAAUUACUGGGCGUAAAGCGCGCGUAGGCGGUCUGAUAAGCCGGUUGUGAAAGCCCCGGGCUCAACCUGGGAACGGCAUCCGGAACUGUCAGGCUAGAGUGCAGGAGAGGAAGGUAGAAUUCCCGGUGUAGCGGUGAAAUGCGUAGAGAUCGGGAGGAAUACCAGUGGCGAAGGCGGCCUUCUGGACUGACACUGACGCUGAGGUGCGAAAGCGUGGGUAGCAAACAGGAUUAGAUCCCCUAGUAGUC
rnacentral:rRNA from 1 species